UUCACUUUCGAAGAUAACGAUUAUGCUCGAACCGCGUUCGACAAAUAUUUGACAAUGAAUUAUCCUAAAUGGAUGAAUAAAGCCCGGGAAGAGGCGAAGAAGCUAGCAGGUGUGGAUCACCUAGACGACAGUUGCAAGAACUUUCCUCCUGGAUACCUGCGAAAGAACCAAUGAGAAAGAAUGAUGACGAAGUUCUUGUCAAACAAAUUUCAAGAAAAAUCAAAGAAGAAUUCUGAAAACCGCACAAGCAAUGAAGGAUACAUCCUCUACAAAGGAGGAUCGGCAUCCGUUGAAACUAAUACUCAGUCAUUGGUAAAACUAUUUAAUAUCUAAUUGGUUCACUUUUUAUUUCAAGUAAUUGAUCAUUUUUUCAUGAUAUAGAGUUUGAAACUCGGUCGACCAGCUUCAUUUACAGAAUCUUUUAUGACCCCUCAUUAUCCAAUCAACAAUAGAGGCAAGACUUUAAUGGUACGUAUUUAAUUAUCAAUAUUUUGUAUUUUUUUCAUUACUAAUUCAUUUUUGUUGUUGUUUAUAAUAGUCGGAUUACGAAACGUACAAACAGGAACAUUUCAAUAAACAACAAUCAUUAAAUGAAGACGAGGAAGAGGAUGAGUCAACAGACAAAGAAGAAAUAUCGACGCAAUGAUCGACAUCUUACAAGCAAAAAAGGCCUCUAUUCUUGAGGACAGUCUGGAAGCUUGGAUUAGGGCUUCAGGAGGCAAGACGAAAGGACGUAUUCUCGAAAUGAGACCAGGGGACGAUUCAUUGAUGUUGAAGAAAUCCAAGGCCAAAAUAAAUCGCCUAACAAAAGAAGAAAGAGAAAAGAAAAAAAGGAAAAAUUCGACACUCGUGUUCAAAAAACCGUUAACGUGGUCGUCGACCAGAGACUCGAGACGGUUAACCAACAAAUGAAGCUCAUGCUAAAAGUAC
rnacentral:lncRNA from 1 species